AUUGAACGCUGGCGGAAUGCUUUACACAUGCAAGUCGAACGGCAGCACGGACUUCGGUCUGGUGGCGAGUGGCGAACGGGUGAGUAAUGUAUCGGAACGUGCCCAGUCGUGGGGGCUAACGUAGUGAAAAUUACGCUAAUCCCGCAUACGAUCUAUGGAUGAAAGCGGGGGAUCGCAAGACCUCGCGCGAUUGGGACGGCCGAUAUCAGAUUAGGUAGUUGGUGGGGUAAAGGGCCACCAAGCCAACGAUCUGUAGCUGGUCUGAGAGGGCGACCAGCCACACUGGAACUGAGACACGGUCCAGACUCCUACGGGAGGCAGCAGUGGGGAAUUUUGGACAAUGGGCGAAAGCCUGAUCCAGCCAUUCCGCGUGCAGGAUGAAGGCCCUCGGGUUGUAAACUGCUUUUGUACAGAACGAAGAGGUUUCUACUAAUACUAGGAGCUCAUGACGGUACUGUAAGAAUAAGCACCGGCUAACUACGUGCCAGCCGCCGCCGUAA
rnacentral:rRNA from 1 species